AUUGAACGCUGGCGGCAGGCCUAACACAUGCAAGUCGAACGGUAACAGGAAGAAGCUUGCUUCUUUGCUGACGAGUGGCGGACGGGUGAGUAAUGUCUGGGAAACUGCCUGAUGGAGGGGGAUAACUACUGGAAACGGUAGCUAAUACCGCAUAACGUCGCAAGACCAAGGAGGGGGACCUUCGGGCCUCUUGCCAUCGGAUGUGCCCAGAUGGGAUUAGCUAGUAGGUGGGGUAACGGCUCACCUAGGCGACGAUCCCUAGCUGGUCUGAGAGGAUGACCAGCCACACUGGAACUGAGACACGGUCCAGACUCCUACGGGAGGCGGCAGUGGGGAAUAUUGCACAAUGGGCGCAAGCCUGAUGCAGCCAUGCCGCGUGUAUGAAGAAGGCCUUCGGGUUGUAAAGUACUUUCAGCGGGGAGGAAGGGAGUAAAGUUAAUACCUUUACUCAUUGACGUUACCCGCAGAAGAAGCACCGGCUAACUCCGUG
rnacentral:rRNA from 1 species